rnacentral:rRNA from 1 species
UAUGGUUUAUUAGAUCGUGCGUUCUACGUGGAUAACUGUGGUAAUUCUAGAGCUAAUACAUGCAACUGGCCCUAACUUUACGGAGGGGCGCUUUUAUUAGAUCAAAAUCAAUCAGGUUUCGGCCUGUUUUUGUGAUGACUCUGGAUAACUUUGUACCGACCGCAUGGCCUUGCGCCGGCGGCGUAUCUUUCAAAUGUCUGCCCUAUCAACUUUCGAUGGUAGGUGACGUCCAUACCAUGGUUGUAACGGGUAACGGAGAAUCAGGGUUCCCUUAUAGGGAGGGAGCCUGAGAAACGGCUCCCACA